GUAAGGAAUAUUGGUCAAUGGACGAAAGUCUGAACCAGCCAUGCCGCGUGGAGGAUGAAGGUCCUCUGGAUUGUAAACUUCUUUUAUAAGGGACGAAAAAAGGCUUUUCUAAGUCGUCUGACGGUACCUUAUGAAUAAGCACCGGCUAACUCCGUGCCAGCAGCCGCGGUAAUACGGAGGGUGCAAGCGUUAUCCGGAUUCACUGGGUUUAAAGGGUGCGUAGGCGGGCAGGUAAGUCAGUGGUGAAAUCCUAGAGCUUAACUCUAGAACUGCCAUUGAUACUAUCUGUCUUGAAUAUUGUGGAGGUAAGCGGAAUAUGUCAUGUAGCGGUGAAAUGCUUAGAUAUGACAUAGAACACCUAUUGCGAAGGCAGCUUACUACGCAUAUAUUGACGCUGAGGCACGAAAGCGUGGGGAUCAAACAGGAUUAGAAACCCUGGUAGUCC
rnacentral:rRNA from 1 species